rnacentral:rRNA from 1 species
AGUGAACGCUGGCGGCGUGCUUAACACAUGCAGGUCGAACGAGAACGGAUUAUAGCUUGCUAUAAUUGUCAGCUAAGUGGCGCACGGGUGAGUAAUGUAUAGGUAAUAUGCCUCUUACUAAGGGAUAACAAAUGGAAACGUUUGCUAAUACCUUAUACUCCUUAUUAACCUAAGUUAAUAAGGGAAAGAUUUAUUGGUAAGAGAUUAGCCUGUAUUGUAUCAGUUAGUUGGUGGGGUAAUGGCCUACCAAGACUAUGACACAUAACUGGUUUGAGAGGAUGAUCAGUCACACUGGAAGUGAGACACGGGCCAGACUCCUACGGGAGGCAGCAGUGGGGAAUAUUGCACAAUGGACGAAAGUCUGAUGCAGCAACGCCGCGUGGAGGAUGACACAUUUCGGUGCGUAAACUCCUUUUAUAUGGGAAGAUAAUGACGGUAUUAUAUGAAUAAGCACCGGCUAACUCCGUGCCAGCAGCCGCAGUAAGAC